rnacentral:rRNA from 1 species
GACGAACGCUGGCGGCGUGCCUAAUACAUGCAAGUAGAACGCAGUUGCGAACGGGUGAGUAACGCGUAGGUAACCUGCCUCAUAGCGGGGGUUAACUAUUGGAAACGCUAGCUAAUACCGCAUACUGUGAGAUGUACCUGCGUUGUAUUAGCUAGUGGGUGAGGUAACGGCUCACCAAGGCGACGAUACAUAGCCGACCUGAGAGGGUGAUCGGCCACACUGGGACUGAGAAACGGCCCAGACUCCUACGGGAGGCAGCAGUAGGGAAUCUUCGGCAAUGGACGAAAGUCUGACCGAGCAACGCCGCGUGAGUGAAGAAGGUUUUCGGAUCGUAAAGCUCUGUUAUUAGGGACGCGGUAACGGAACAGAAAGGGACGGCUAACUACGUGCCAGCAGCCGCGGUAAUUC